GUAAUCGUGGAUCAGAAUGCCACGGUGAAUACGUUCCCGGGCCUUGUACACACCGCCCGUCACACCAUGGGAGUGGGCUGCAAAAGAAGUAGGUAGUUUAACCUUCGGGGGAACGCUUACCACUUUGUGGUUCAUGACUGGGGUGAAGUCGUAACAAGGUAGCGCUAGGGGAACCUGGCGCUGGAUCACCUCCUUA
rnacentral:rRNA from 1 species